rnacentral:rRNA from 1 species
UACGUAGGGGGCAAGCGUUAUCCGGAUUUACUGGGUGUAGAGGGAGCGUAGACGGCAGUGCAAGUCUGGAGUGAAAGGCGGGGGCUCAACCCCCGGACUGCUCUGGAAACUGUACGGCUGGAGUGCAGGAGAGGUAAGUGGAAUUCCUAGUGUAGCGGUGAAAUGCGUAGAUAUUAGGAGGAACACCAGUGGCGAAGGCGGCUUACUGGACUGUAACUGACGUUGAGGCUCGAAAGCGUGGGGAGCAAACAGG